rnacentral:misc_RNA from 1 species
AAGUCGUAACAAGGUUUCCGUAGGUGCAAGGUUUCCGUAGGUGAACCUGCGGAAGGAUCAUUAACACGUAUCCAACGUUAAACAACCCUGUGAACUUUAAGCCGGCCAUGAGGAACAGCAAUCCCGGUAAAUCAUUGCCAAACAGUUUUGAUUCGGGACCUCUGUCCAAAAGGAGUUGCAAUUGAGUGGUAGAUGCAGUGGCAUGGCUUCCCCAAGCAGUUAGUGAAUGACAGUGUCACUGACUGUGUAAGGAUAACGCCUCACGGUUGCCAGAGGUCGAUCACCGACCGGCAGACAUGUCACAGGGCCACCGCGCCCCUUAAUCACUCCACUAGAAAAUGCCCCGCCUAGUGGUAACGCGCUAGGUAAAAAAAACCGAACAACUGUUAACAAUGGAUAUCUUGGUUCUC